ensembl:lncRNA
CAUUACAAAAUCAAAGACCCUUUAUACUCUUAAAAACAAACCAGAGCAUGUAAUGUAUCUAUAUUGUUUCUUUUCAUAGGGGCGUCCUCUUGUACCUGCAUAGGCAAAAACCGUGCGUUCCAGCACUCAGAUGGGUCGUGCUUGUGUAAGACCGGUUUUGUCUUUUACAAUGAAUUAGACUUAAAAAGCUCCACCGCAGACAGUGAACUGGACUGCCAGCCUGAGGUAAGAUGCAUGCACUGAAGAAAAGCUCUGUGUUUCUACAGUUUAUUUGUGUGAUAAGACAGUAAGGAGCUCUUCAUUCUGUGUAGGUGAAGAAGCGCUGUGGGGCAGGUCAGGUGAGGCUGGCCUCUACGCUGGAAUGUGUUUUCCCAUCCACCUACUCCUGUAACGUCACAUGUGGACCUCAGGGUGGGACUUUGGAUGUUGGGAUGGGCAUUUGUCACUGCGAUAGGUACGUGUCAGCGGAGGAGCUGUGUAACUCUUCAUGUGUGUCCACACUGCCGGUGCUCUCUGCCAGACUGGAUACAGACGGACAGCUACUGUUGAGAAUCAAAGCCGCAGAUGAAAGCAAAACCUGGAGCAGGGUGGGAUCAGGAUCUGUUAAAAAGACGCUUCAUUAUUAUCUAUCAGUUAUUAUACUGUGCUUAUUGAUGUGAACUCAUGCUAAAAAUAACAUUGUUUCAUUUUUCUCUUAGGAUAUGAUAAAUAUACUAGGACCUGAUGUUCAUGUCAAGAACAUAGGAAGGAUCCACUUCGUCCAGUUCGCUCCUGAGGGAGUGUUUGGUUGGAUUUUAAAAGACCCCUUGCUCAUUGAUUCUUUAGUAAGAGAACCUGUUGAAAUUCUGAAGAGUGAUUUCAGGAAGAAACGACAUGCUGAUCAGAAUGAGGUUUCCGAGCCUCUUCCACGGAUCCCAAAUCCCAUCGCAUGUCUGUCCCCAAAUGAUAUGCUCAUCUUUCAGCUCACCAUCAACCACACCGACCGCCACUACAGUCACUUCCCAGUGUACCAGAAGGAUCACCUGUUCAGCAGUAACCCUGGCUGGGAUUUUGGGGCAUUUAGACGUCUGCAGCAUCUAGUCAAACACACACAGCUAAAUUCCAGCAGGUAAGACUAGAUAGGUAUAUCACAUGUAGCUUUCAACACAGAUAUGCAGCUGAUCUGCAUUGAUUUAUCUUGUUAGAUUUGCGCAUGUGUUCAUGGAGCCGGGAAAGUAUGUGUUCCUGGAUAACGCAGUUCCGGAAUGGAGUCUGAUAGUGGUCGUGAGUGAACAGGGCUCCGAGUGUAACCCCACAAUGGCUGCCUUCCAGCCGACGACUCCUGCACAGCUUGUGCGACACGGGAUUGUUAAACAACACAGCUUAAACCUGCUUCCAGACUGGGGGCUCAUCAUAGGUGAGUCAACAAUAAAAGUGGGGUGCUUUUGACA